rnacentral:ncRNA from 1 species
AUAAAUGCAGUGAGUAGUCAAAGUAAAUUCUAACUUUAAGAGAUCAUUCGUAAGGCUGAGAGAAUGAACCAGAAUUGAAACACAACUACUAGCAGUUGUCCUGAACAAAGUGAUUCAGUAGGGAUGGCCGGCCACCCGUCGUUAUUCGGGCCAAGUUUGUUAGAACUUGACGAGGUAGUUACUGUGAGGUAACUACGAAUAGAGGUGGCACCACGAGCUAAUCGUCCUCUCA